UACAGACAAAGGUUAUGGGGUGUGGCGUACGAAGGGUUAUGGGGUGUGGCGUACGAAGGUUAUGGGGGUGUGGCGUACGAAGGUUAUGGGGGUGUGGCGUACGAAGGUUACUUGAUAUUAACUUUACUUUUUAUUUUUGCUUGUGAUUGUAACCUCCAAACCAUUGUUCUUAUCAGUUUAACUACCUAGGUAAUUUAAAUCAGUCCUCUGGGAUUUAUCAUCCUGGUAAUUAAAUCAGUCCUCUGGGAUUUAUCAUCCUGGUAACUAAAUCAGUCCUCUGGGAUUUAUCAUCCUGGUAACUAAAUCAGUCCUCUGGGAUUCAUCAUUUAUCAUCCUGGUAACUAAAUCAGUCCUCUGGGAUUUGAAGGGCCACAUGUUCUCGUAAGGUUUAAAAUGUAAUAGUAACACUAUUUUCUAUGGAUAAUAAAAAUGUAAAUCUCUCUGUUUUCACGGACCAUUCUCUGCAUAUUGUGAAAACUGUAAAAAGGUAUUUGCUAAUGAGAGAUAUUUUUGCAACAUGACCUACUGACAGACCUGCUUUCUACAGAACGUACUAUAGUAUUAUGCUAUCGUAAGGCCUUAAUGUAUUUUAAUAGUUACAUUUCAAACUUAUUCAACUAAAAAACAUCAUUUAAAAAA